rnacentral:rRNA from 1 species
UACAGAGGUCUCAAGCGUUGUUCGGAUUCAUUGGGCGUAAAGGGUGCGUAGGCGGCGCGGUAAGUCGGGUGUGAAAUCUUGGAGCUUAACUCCGAAACUGCAUUCGAUACUGCCGUGCUUGAGGACUGGAGAGGAGACUGGAAUUUACGGUGUAGCGGUGAAAUGCGUAGAUAUCGGAAGGAAGACCAGUGGCGAAGGCGGGUCUCUGGACAGUUCCUGACGCUGAGGCACGAAGGUCAGGGGAGCAAACGGG